rnacentral:sRNA from 1 species
UUAUAAACCCGUUAACAGCGGCAGCCCCCGAUUCUUCAUUGGGGCUAUAGCGAAUAACGGGACUGCUG